CCUAUGGGAGGCAGCAGUGGGGAAUCUUCCGCAAUGGGCGAAAGCCUGACGGAGCAAUGCCGCGUGAGUGAAGAAGGCCUUCGGGUUGUAAAACUCUGUCCUUAUCGAAGAGAGGUGGGUAUGUGAAUAAUGUACUCAUAGGACGGUAGAUAAGGAGGAAGCCCCGGCUAACUACGUGCCAGCAGCCGCGGUAAUACGUAGGGGGCGAGCGUUGUCCGGAAUCACUGGGCGUAAAGGGAGCGUAGACGGCCAGACAAGUCUGAAGUGAAAAUCCAGCGCUUAACGUUGGAAGUGCUUUGGAAACU
rnacentral:rRNA from 1 species